GCCUCCCAAAGUGCUGGGAUUACAGGUGUGAGCCACUGCACCCAGCCAAGGAAACACUUUUGAGCACCACUUUAUUAGUUGCCUAGGCCGGUCUCAAACUACUGGGCUCAAGCGAUCUGCCUGUCUUGGCCUCCCAAAGUUCUGGGAUUACAGGCGUGAGCCACUGCACCCAGCCUGCUCCAUGAUUUCUGACACUGUGGUGGAAAUUUUGAACAUCUAUUUCUGCAUUAUUUCUAUGAAUUUAUUAAAAUGUAUGCAUUCGUUUACUUAUUGGUGAAUAUGUAAGUCAUUUUUAAUUGUUCAUUCUCAAAAACAAUGAUUUGCAGGGACCUUGAUACUGGCUUUAACUUUGUUUCUGUUGUCUUUUGUUAUAUAAAAAUAUUACAUUUUCAUUUUGUCAAACUUAUCAAUCUUUUUCUGUUGUGGCUUAUGCUUCUUUUUGACUGCAGUUUUCUUAACAAUUUUCUUAACUAUUAAGAACAUUCUCAGGCCCCCGCCCAGACUUACAGAAUCAGAAUCCACAUUUUCACAAGCCGUUUUGCGGUAGACAAUUUUCCCAUUGAUGGAACGGGGCUCGGGGGGCGGGAGGUGAUGGUGGUUUCAGGAUUAAACUGUUCCAUCUCAGAUCAUCAGGCGUUAGAUUCUCAUAAGGAGCAUGCAACCUGGAUCCCUUGCACGCACAGUUCACGACAGGGUUUGUGCUCCUGGUUCCUAACAGACCACAGACUGGAACCAGGGGUCAGACCCCUGCCCUAAAGGGCUGGCAAAUUCUUCCAGUUAGAAAUAGGUACCCACUCACUGGGAGGUUGGAGGACUGGCUAACUCCCUUGGAAUUUCUCAGGGAUUCCUGAUGAAAGUGAGUGGACUCACUCCCAGGUGCCCAAACACCUGCCCUCUGCUGGGCUGCCUUCCCUCUGAUCUGGUACAAUUAUUGUGGCAAGCUUUUAAUGGGAGGCAUUUGUGUACUGAACUAAGUAUCUGGGUGGCGGAGUCAAUACAGUAUAAAUGUUUUUAGGUCAUCUGUCUUUGAGGUGGGCUGUUCACCUCCUUGUUCCCUUGUGGACCCCACUCUUGGGGUCCUGCAGCCUGUCUUCUUUCCCUCCAUCAGCAGCUCCCAGGGAGAAUGCAUCCUAUCCCUCUGAGGUGCUGUCAUCUGACACCCUCCUGGACAGUCCCCCUCAUUUGUGCUUUAAAGUGUUUGGCAACUGCCCCUUGUCAUCAGCACUCUCAGUCCCACUGUUAUUCUGGUGUCUUUGAUGUGUAUGUGGCUGACCCAACUGAUACCCUGACUUCUCAGCUCCUUGACUUCCUCA
rnacentral:lncRNA from 1 species